rnacentral:rRNA from 1 species
CGAACGCUUCUUUCCUCCCGAGUGCUUGCACUCAACUGGAAAGAGGAGUGGCGGACGGGUGAGUAACACGUGGGUAACCUACCCAUCAGAGGGGGAUAACACUUGGAAACAGGUGCUAAUACCGCAUAACAGUUUAUGCCGCAUGGCAUAAGAGUGAAAGGCGCUUUCGGGUGUCGCUGAUGGAUGGACCCGCGGUGCAUUAGCCAGUUGGUGAGGUAACGGCUCACCAAGGCCACGAUGCAUAGCCGACCUGAGAGGGUGAUCGGCCACACUGGGACUGAGACACGGCCCAGACUCCUACGGGAGGCAGCAGUAGGGAAUCUUCGGCAAUGGACGAAAGUCUGACCGAGCAACGCCGCGUGAGUGAAGAAGGUUUUCGGAUCGUAAAACUCUGUUGUUAGAGAAGAACAAGGGCGUUAGUAACUGAACGUCCCCUGACGGUAUCUAACCAGAAAGCCACGGCUAACUACGUGCCAGCAGCCGCGGUAAUACGUAGGUGGCAAGCGUUGUCCGGAUUUAUUGGGCGUAAAGCGAGCGCAGGCGGUUUCUUAAGCCUGAUGUGAAAGCCCCCGGCUCAACCGGGGAGGGUCAUUGGAAACUGGGAGACUUGAGUGCAGAAGAGGAGAGUGGAAUUCCAUGUGUAGCGGUGAAAUGCGUAGAUAUAUGGAGGAACACCAGUGGCGAAGGCGGCUCUCUGGUCUGUAACUGACGCUGAGGCUCGAAAGCGUGGGGAGCAAACAGG